AAGACUGUAGGAAAAAUUACCAAAUAAAGGAAGGGAUAAACAACUGGUAUCCACCCAUUAGCAUUUAAUACUGUGUACUGCCUCGUUCAUCUGCAAGUGGCUUGCCAUCCUCUCACAGCUGCUAUUCAUUUCUCAUCAUUGUUUCUCUCAUAGGUGUGAAAAAAAGAAACCAGCAAGAUGGCAGAGAAAAAGAUGACAUCGAGUUGCAGUGGUCAUCUGAAGAGCUUGAUGCUUUCGAUUGCCAACGACCUGCUGGAGAAAGAAGCAAAAAGGAAAAGGCAAGGUAUAUGGAAGAUAGCUGCUCUGCUCCCGGAUAUGUCUGGUGGUCUUCCUGAGCUGCAGAAUCGGUGCAAAAAGCUGAACCCGACCAUUGAGAGACACACUGUGUAAACACUGGUGCCACAUCUGUGACGUAUUCUUGUGCGAAUGGAAAAUGCUUAAAAAGUUGGCCCAGACGAUCAACGAGGUCUUACUCAUAUAAGGAUUUUUCUUAAUUUUUACUAUUUUCUACAUUGUAGAAUAAUUGUGAAGACA